rfam:Stegodyphus mimosarum contig99168, whole genome shotgun sequence.
GCCUUUGUAGUGUAGUGGUCAGCACGCUCGACACGUAACCCAGAGGUCCGUGGUUCGAUUCCCGGCGAAGGCG